GAAAGAAAGCUAUUGCAUGCAUGGAAGUCGCUGGAUGCAUGUAGUCUCUGCCUCCUCCUCCUCCUCCUCCUCCUCCUCCUCCUCCUCCUGCUGCUGCUGCUGCUGCUGCUGCCACCAGGGUCACAGCCAUCAGCUCCUCACACACGUGACAGACUUGGGGCACAGCAUCUUUCCUGUAGAAAAGCUCUGGGCAUUUCUGCGAAACGGCAGAUCUGACUCAGGCAUGGAUGGGUCCACCUUGGACCCUUAUGACAGGUUCUAAAACUCAGAAUUUAUCAGCAAGCUUUGUUGAAGUUUGGUGAGGCAGUCAGGAGAAGAGGCUUUGAGAGGAAUCCGAGUUACCUGUCCUUACUGAAGCAAUCCUCGGCCAUCACAGAUUAUUAUGAGGUUGUUGUUGUUGUUAUUAUUAUUAUUAUUAUUAUUAUUAUUAUUAUUAUUAUUGGUCAGGUUGGCAAAUGAGAAACACUAGCAAAUAUGGUGAUAUACCCUGUAAUCCAAUUACUUGGGAGCCUGAGGUCAGAGGAUCAACGGCUCUACGGCAGGGUACAUAGCUAGUUGGGAGCCAGCCUGGGCUACAUGAGAUCCAACCUCAAAAACGUAAAAAAUAAAAAAAGGACCAGAUGUAGGGUUACACACCUUUAAUUUCAUGCGUCAGGACUCGGAGGCAGGUGGCUCUGUGAGUUUGAGGCCAGGCUGGUCUACAUGUUGAGUUCUAGGCCAGCCAAGGCUCCAUUGUAAGACCCUGUCUUACUAAAAAUAAGUGUAAAAAAUUAGGGUACAAUAUCCUCAGCAUGAAGCCCAGCAAUUUUCAACCAACGGGAAUACUGUAUAACAGCAAUAUCUUAAGUCACUUACUAAAUGACAAAUUGAGUUAUCUGAUAAAAAUGUAUCCUUGUGCAUCCUGCUUAAAGUUAUGUGAAGAGGUUUAAGAAUCAUGCAGCCCGCCCUGGUGACCAUCAGGAUCAUCGUCUUGGUCUUAAUGAGUGGUUCAUUGUUUCAUCAAUGCUCAUGAAAACUCCUUAAAUUUCACAUAAAAAGAGGACCCAGGGCUCCUGGGACCUGCGGUGAAAUGUAAUUUAUUCAUUCAAUUGUGAAAAAGCCAAGAGCCUGUGUGGACUUUAUGUACUUGGGAACUUGGAGAUUUGGGAAUCUUGGGACAUAGCAUUUCUGAAUGUCAAGGGCCUUGUCUGCCAUGCCCCUAAUGUAUUGGGAUCC
rnacentral:lncRNA from 1 species